rnacentral:rRNA from 1 species
AUUGAACGCUGGCGGCAGGCCUAACACAUGCAAGUCGAGCGAGCGGCGGACGGGUGAGUAAUGCUUGGGAAUUGCCCAGUAGAGGGGGAUAACAGUUGGCAACGACUGCUAAUACCGCAUACGAUUGGCUUGCCCGGGGGGGGUUAGCUAGUUGGUGCGGUAAUGGCUCACAAAGGCGACGAUCCCUAGCGGGUCUGAGAGGAUGACCGGCCACACUGGAACUGAGACACGGCCCAGACUCCUACGGGAGGCAGCAGUGGGGAAUAUUGCACAAUGGGGGAAACCCUGAUGCAGCCAUGCCGCGUGUGUGAAGAAGGCCUUCGGGUUGUAAAGCACUGUCAGCGAGGAGGCGUUACUCGCAGAAGAAGCACCGGCUAACUCCGUGCCAGCCGCCGCGGUAAUUC